GGGGCGGGGCAUCUUCAACGCAGUCUAUUUUCGAACAGAAAGCAGUCAAAUUAACAGAAUUGUUUCGCAACACUCAUCUAGAAGGACACUGUUCAAGGAAUCAUUCACUUGAUGUAAAGGUUUUACUGAGACAGUGCACAGCCCUAAUCUUUGGGAGGGCAGAGAACUGUACUGAACGCUGGAUGAUUACCCUAGAGAGUCGUGUUGUUUGUGAGGGCAUACAACCAAGAUUCCUGACUGCAAUAGCAACCAUGUUUGCAAUGUUCUACGUCUUCAAUCUUAAGUAUCCAGAGGAGGCAUGUGGCACCUUGGAAUUCAUUCAAAGACGAUUCGUUGGGAUAAACCCUGAAAAAGUUACGAAGACCUGCAGAGGCAAGGUGGUUUCAAAGAAGACUGGAAAACUUGUCAGCAAGAAGUCUGCCACUGUCAAUCCCAAAGUUUCUUCUCUCCUGAAGAACCUCAUCGAUUUCGAAUGGAACUUCGUCUAGAUCUGGAUUUCCUCUCAGACCAGAUGUGUUAAAAGCUGAUGUGGGAUGUUUUGCCAGUUUUUUGCCUCUUCCUACGUUUUUUCACCAAUUGGUUCUCUUGUCC